CCUGAGCCACCACCUCCUCCUCCUCUGGAUGCCGACAUCGCUAGCUUAGAACUGCCUGGUAAGAUGUCCAAGGGGAUCCAAUCACAGUUGAUGGAGUAAUGUCCUGAUCCGUGCCAUGGAUUCCCGUCUACUGGAUACCAGAAUGCAACUCCCAUCUUGCUUGAUCCGCUGAUCGUGAACUGUGCAUCCUGCAUUCGAGGUUGGAAGCCAAUGUUAUCAGCUGGCGGAUGUCAUUCGAGGCCAAGAAUCUUACUCUUUCCAACAAACGAGUAGUGCCAAAAAGAUAAAUUCAAAGCAUGGCAAGAAUAUUCAUCAUGCACAAACAGAGGUAACAAUACUUGCAAAACUUGACAUCUUGAACCCAAAGAUGUUGAAAAUUGAUCUGCAGGUUUCUCACCUGUUGGAGUCUGUCCAUGGUUCUUAAAGGCCUAGAGAAUUCGAAAUAGUACUUGCC
rnacentral:lncRNA from 1 species